rnacentral:rRNA from 1 species
GGCAAAAGCUCAAAUUUGAAAUCGGCCACCAGGUCGAGUUGUAAUUUGUAGAUUGUAUCUUGAGAGCGGAUUAAAGUCUGUUGGAACACAGCGCCUUAGAGGGUGACAGCCCCGUAAAAUCUAUUCUCAUUGUAAGAUACUUUCGAAGAGUCGAGUUGUUUGGGAAUGCAGCUCUAAGUGGGAGGUAAAUUCCUUCUAAAGCUAAAUAUUGACGAGAGACCGAUAGCGAACAAGUACUGUGAAGGAAAGAUGAAAAGCACUUUGAAAAGAGAGUGAAAAAGUACGUGAAAUUGUUAAAAGGGAAGGGUAUUGAAUCAGACUUGGUGCUGUUGUUCAACUGUGUUUCGGCAUAGUGUACUCAGCAGUACUAGGCCAAGGUGGGGUGUUUGGGAGUGAAAAAGAAGUUGGAACGUAACUCUUCGGAGUGUUAUAGCCUACUUUCAUAGCUCCUCAGGCGCCUCAGGACUGCGCUUCGGCAAGGACCUUGGCAUAAUGAUUCUAUACCGCCCGUCUUGAAA